UACGUGAGGUGCGAGCGUUAAUCGGAAUUACUGGGCGUAAAGGGCGCGCAGGCGGCUCUGAAAGUCAGAUGUGAAAGCCCCGGGCUUAACCUGGGAAUUGCAUUUGAUACUCUGGAGCUUGAGUGUGGGAGAGGAGAGUGGAAUUCCCAGUGUAGAGGUGAAAUUCGUAGAUAUUGGGAAGAACACCGGUGGCGAAGGCGGCUCUCUGGACCACAACUGACGCUGAGACGCGAAAGCGUGGGGAGCGAACAGG
rnacentral:rRNA from 1 species